rnacentral:lncRNA from 1 species
UUCGACCUAAAGGAUGGUGUUGGCAACUGGUGUUUCAAAGGCUUUGCCUUCAACUGCUGAAUGUGCAACACAAAAUUUAAUUAUUCAAUUUCAACUUUGAUGUAACAUUUUGUAUUUUGGAUAAUUUUGUAUAGUUCUUUUUGGACUGUUUGUAACAUAUUGUAUGGUUUUAGCUUAAGACCUUAUUGGUGUAAUUAAUUACAAUGCUCAAACUUUAUCUUAUUAUUUCA